rnacentral:rRNA from 1 species
GAGUUUGAUCGUGGCUCAGGAUGAACGCUAGCGGCAGGCUUAACACAUGCAAGUCGAGGGGUAGAGGAAGCUUGCUUCCUUGAGACCGGCGCACGGGUGCGUAACGCGUAUGCAAUCUACCUUGUACAGGGGGAUAGCCCAGAGAAAUUUGGAUUAAUACCCCAUAGUGUAAUGAAAUGGCAUCAUUUUAUUACUAAAGUUCCAACGGUACAAGAUGAGCAUGCGUCCCAUUAGCUAGUUGGUGUGGUAACGGCAUACCAAGGCAACGAUGGGUAGGGGUCCUGAGAGGGAGAUCCCCCACACUGGUACUGAGACACGGACCAGACUCCUACGGGAGGCAGCAGUGAGGAAUAUUGGUCAAUGGGGCGCAAGCCUGAACCAGGCCAUGCCGCGUGCAGGAUGACGGUCCUAUGGAUUGUAAACUGCUUUUGUACAGGAAGAAACACUCCCUCGUGAGGGAACUUGACGGUACUGUAAGAAUAAGGAUCGGCUAACUCCGUGCCAGCCGCCG